rnacentral:rRNA from 1 species
UACGUAGGUGGCAAGCGUUGUCCGGAUUUACUGGGUGUAAAGGGCGUGUAGCCGGGCUGACAAGUCAGAUGUGAAAUCCGGGGGCUCAACCCCCGAACUGCAUUUGAAACUGUUGGUCUUGAGUAUCGGAGAGGCAGGCGGAAUUCCUAGUGUAGCGGUGAAAUGCGUAGAUAUUAGGAGGAACACCAGUGGCGAAGGCGGCCUGCUGAACGACAACUGACGGUGAGGCGCGAAAGCGUGGGGAGCAAACAGG